rnacentral:lncRNA from 1 species
AACUUUGAUCCUAUCUAGCUACUGGUUGUUAUUUUAUUUCUGUCAUUAGUUGUGCAAGUGUUAGAAUCUGAUCCCUGUGUUUAGUUCUAUAUAAAAAAGUGUCAAAAAAAUAGAAAAGAAAGUGAAAAAAAGUGAAGUGAAAAAAAGUUGAGAAAGGUUAGAGAGAAAGUUUGAAAGAUUAGUUGGUUUAUGCGCACAAGUGCUGAAAGUUUCAUCUCAAGUUCUGCAACCAGUUUGCUAUCUUUGUUUGGUGCAAUAUUUUGGUUGGGUCUGAUUGCAACACUUGCAUCCCAAUCAUACUCCUUGUUUGCAUCAAAUCUGAAUUUUCUUUGUGCGUGUGUGUGAUCAUUUACUUCUUUCAUAUCUUGUGGUCAGCACUAGGCAGAGAACUUCUAGUUUGGAUCUUUACUUAACUUCACAACAACUAGAAUUCAGAUUGCAUUCCUUGUGUAUUACUCCCGACCAAGCUCCACAUAAAAACCAUCGUAAUCGGUACUCUCUGCUCUUGUAUUCGCCUUGCCAUCACUUUCAGUUGCCACCACACAUUUGUUUUCCUUGUAAUCUGCAGCAGAGGAAUUCAUAAGAGCUUCGGUGGUUAGAGAGGUGAGUUGUGAGAGCCACCAAAUUUUCAUAUUCCACAAAUACAAAUUUUUUGUAUCUUGCUAUCCUUACAGGAAGAUGGGUCAAGUGGACAUCAAAGAUCGUGUUACCAUAGCACAAUUUAAUAAACUCCGACAA